AGAUUUUCCGACGACUUUUCCGGCUCGAAAGAUCUUAAACAACCGGGGAUGCAACUUGAGACAACUCUAAAACAUAUGAGGUUCCAAAUGGAAUGAUAGUUGCAACUUGAAACUGCCCUGAAACAUGAGAUUCCAAAUGAUCAUUGUGAAUGAGAAGGGCACAACGAUGACAGCUCCACAAGCAAAAGAGAAAAUUCAAGACCAAACAGGUUGUUGGUUGAGAUGUACAAUUUUGAAUCAGCUCUUAAGAUAUUGUGAGUUUUGAAGCUUUGUUGAUGCAUAUUUUCGAUAAGAUUUUGAAGAAGUAUUUAAAUCUUGAAUUUCUAUCUUAUUUUAUUUUUCAUUGGAGCAAUUUCAUACAUAGCACACGAAUCUUAGCUAUUUACAAAAUCAAUACCCUCCUACCUCAUUUUAUCAAAUUCCACCCAAACGCCAAACUCCACAACGAAAAUCAAACUCAUAACCAUUGCUUAUUUCAAAUGCUUAACACCCUAAGUAUAUACAAAUGCAUGGGUUUCCUUGUAUAGUUUUUUGAAUGGUAGUUUUGUAAAUAGGAUUGAUUUUGGUGGCAUGUGCUUAAAUCCCUCUUGUUUCCUUUUACAAUUAUUAUUAUUGUAUUUCAAGCCAUUAUAUUUUUGAUGUGUCCAUGUAAUACAUUAUUGUGGCAUGUGGGAGAUAAUAGUCGGUUUAAGUCAAAAAGUUAUAUUGUGCCUAUUACAUAUGGAAAUAUCAUAAUAUGAUGCUCAUUUUGAAAUAUAGGUAGGAUUUUAGGUAGUAUGUUAGAGCAAAAAUAUUUUUUUUUUCUUUUCUUUUUUUCCGCAAGCCUUCUACACUAUUCCUACAUGUUAACCAAUAUGCUAUCAAAACGAUGUAAUAAUUGUAUGCUCAUAACCUUAAGUAUAUUUUUCAAUUAUUAAGAUCUAAUUAUGAGUUUUAUCAUUGAUUCAACUAGAAAUUGGUCUAGAACCAAAAGGAAAGUAUCAUGAGCUUGUGGAUUUAGCACUACCUUAGUCAUGUAGCCUUAGAAUUCUUUGAUUCCAAGUUAGCUUGCAUUCAGUCACAAUAAUUUAAAAGAAAAAGGAAGAUAAUUAUAAGCUUUUGUUAUCACUCAAGCUUGUGAUGAGACAAUUGAAAGGGGUUUCUCCACUUGUAUAGUAUCUAAGGGAUCUCAAUCACGAGGGCUCAGAAGGGCCCUUCAUAUUGACAAAUUGACCCCAUGCAUGCAUCAUUAUGUUAUACAAUAUGAUUAAUGUUUAUACGUGACUUUCUUUAUUUCAUUUAUAUAAAUGCUAAUGAUUGAUAAUAUUAUGUUCUAUUUUUCUGAUUGUAAUUUUUAUCUAAAUUAAUCAAAUAUAGAUAUGGACAUAUAGAUGUGAUUGUAGAUUUGAUACAUGUUGUGAAUAAAAUUUUAAAAUACUGACAAUGUUUGUUAUGUGGAUAACAUAGAGAGGUUUAUUGAGCAUUAAGAGCUAAAGAUCUCCUGAUAAAAGAACCGGAGUCACAGGUAUAGAUCUGCAUCGACAGGAUUAUUAUCAUCUUGAAAACUUCCAACUUUGUUAGCCUCUGUUUAAUCUGUAUAAACUUAGGAAGAGCUCAAAAAUCAUUAUCCUAAAAUAACAAAACCAUUGAAAGCCUAAUACGAUUACAACUCAACCUUCCCUAUCUUCUCUCUUGUAGGAAGAUUUAUGCCAUGAAAAUGGAAUAUGCUUGCAUAUAUUUUAUGCCUUACAGGAAGCCAAAGGUAAUAGAUAUGUUUAAUUGGUGUAACAUUGCAGAAUAUGAAGAGAUAAUUUACUAACGUGAAGACAAAUUAAGUUUGUUUCAGCCAUCUCAUGGAUGAAAACCUAGACAUCAUAAAAUUGAAUGAGCUUCAUAAAUUGGGGAUGCAACUUGAAACUGGGCUGAAGCAUACAAGAUCCCAAAUGGUAAGUCAUUCAUAAUACUUCAAUUUUGGAUUUAUAACUUCUUGCAUUUGUAGUUGAGGCAAUAUCCACCUAUUCUUGUAAUGCAUAAUUAACUACUUGAUUUCCAUAGGUGAGCUUCAAAGAAAGGCAAGACGUCCUCUUCUCUUUUUCAUUGCCUUCAUUGUGUCCCUUGAAAAAUAUAUGCUUAAAUUCAUCAUCGUAGCACAUAGGGCUUCAAUUGAUUUAUAGUUGGAUUAUCAUAUCUUGAAAGAAAAGAUUAGUGUGAGGGCUUGGUCUAACAAGUGGUUCACUUUCCUUUACACUUCAUAGAUGCAUGCAAUAUGGAUAAUCUAACAUGAAUAGAAGAUUUAGUUGAAUGGCAUUUAUAAAUAUAAGAAUUGAAGAAUAACCCUCACCUAAAUUGAAAGUUAAUAAAUGAUGCCUUUUUUGGAUUUGAGCUUUCUGGUUAUUUUUGUGAUUUAUUUUUUCUUUUGAAUUUUAGCCCCCUUAUAUACUAUAUAUUUAAGGCUCAUUGUCUCUUGAACUAUAAAUCUUAAAUCCCUAGAAAAAUAAUGGUAAAAUGGAAGACAUUUUUGGAGUAUGGGUUUCAAAUGGUCAACUUCAUUUAAGCUAAUUUAAUUAAUGUAAUAGCCCAACUCAAUGUGAUCCAUAAUUAAUUUGCUUCAAACUGUGUGGGCAUAACAAAAGAGGAAUCUCAAUUAAUUUUUUUUCAAUACCACAAUUUUUUUACCACAUCAUUGUCAAGUAUUAUGAAAUCUCAUGGUUAAUAGUAUAUGAUUUGAUGUGGAUUAUACAUUUUCAAUUUAGUAUAACCAAAAGGUGCUAAAAUAGGAAGAACAUAAACAGUAGAUAUAAUAACAAAAUAUUGUAUUUAGCUUGUGAAUUCUACGAUACAAACAAUUAAUAUUCAUUAUCAAAGCUUUAUUAUUGAGUUAGCUAAGGUAUUUUUUAUCAUAAUUACAUGGAACUAAAGAGAACAUUAAAUAACAUUGUAUAGGAGAGUAACUUAUGUUAUUAAAAUAUCCCCUAUACAAACGUUUAUCAACAUUAACUAUAUAUUCAUAUCAAAUGAGAUAUCAAUAUAAGAAUUAUGUUGAUAUACACCGAUCAGUGUUCUAUAAUUUUUGAAUGCCUAUUUAUUAAGUCUUGUCACCCUUUCCAAGAUUCUUUUCCCUUUAUGGAACUAUCAAUAACAUGGUACAAUAUGGUGAGCGAGAGGCCUAUUGGUCACAUGAACUUUAUUAUAUAAUUCAAUGUACUAUGUGAUAAGUAAAUAUGUAAUGAAAGUUGUGUCAAAAAUUAGACCAUAUUGUAUUUAUUUUUAUUAGAUCAUUUUUGGAUGGCCAAUGAUAUGCUAGUAAACCUAGCACAAUGUCAUGGUGUGAGCAAGUUUAUGUACAAUUAAAAAACAACCAAACAAAUAAAUAAUAAUAAAGGUUAUGUACAAUCAAUUUUGUA